CACCAUAACGUUCCCCUGCCUGCCUGGCUGGCCGGUUCUCCCAGGUUAUGGUGUGACACACUGCAGCAUCCAACAAACCCGGUAUGGUCCCUCUUUUUAUCGGCACGCUAGGUUUUCUUCUUUUAAAACAGGGUUUAGCUUUAGAAGACCGCCGCGAGGGGCUAGCCGUGGUGCUCUUUAGAGCCCUAUAAACGCGGCGCUUACAGUACCUCUUCCUCCACACACUUCUCUACUCAGGCGAAGGAGUUGGACAACUAAACGGUCUACGGUGACGCGGGAGACGCAGGCUAGGGUCGGUCUUCGGACGCUUUUUCCGCUGCGCUGUUACCCGGCGUACCUGUGCGGUUCUCCUCCUCUCAAAGAAGUUACGAGACGCGGUUCAUCCUUUUUUAAAACUCUUCUAAUGGGAUGCACAGGUCUCGUUUUUGUUUCUAGUCCAGUCUGUAAUGAUGAUAGCGGAACAAUCUGCGUACUUCUUCGAAGACCCAGGACCCAAGAGUGAACUACGUGCUUUGAGGUUCCUGUGCUAACGACGAUACGAGGCGACCACCAGAGAAGAGCUCUUUAAAUCGACGUCACGAAGUUUCGAUGUAGACUUCGGAGCCUCUAAGUUUUGUAAACAUCUACGUAACCCUUUAGUUGACGAUUUUCUAUCUUUUUCUUGCUCUUCUUUCACAAGUGAUCCCCUAUGUGCAAAUAGAAGAAGUAGAGGUCAAGAGUCGUUCUGAGGUCCUUUAGUUAGAAAACGUCAUCCUGAGAACGGGUACCUACGUGUUUUGCCAUCGUUUCCUCGGAGAAGAUUUCCUCGCAAAUACUUUGCCCAACGUCUUGGAUUAAGAUUGUUCAGUCCUCAUUAGUCUCCUCUGGAGAGACGGUGUUCUUGACACUCUGUUUUUUCCUCUCGUCCCCCACGACCACGCACACGCCGUAUAUUCUUUACCCUCUCUCGACGGUACCGACCACAAAGAAAUCAACGACUACGUCGACUCCUCGAACUUGCGUUUUACUGCUGGGUCUUGAACAGUACAUUACGCCUACGUUGACACGAUCGAAGUAGUGGGUUGUUGCAUAGAUGACAACUACUACACCCGUGUUUAGUAUACUUUCUUCGUCUAGGCGUUCGUGGAAGUUUCGACUUCGACGUCAAUAAAGGUUAUUUACUUCGGUGUGCCUUCCGUAACCUCUUCCUACUAGUAUUAGGUGUAGACCUCGAGUGUAAUUCAAGGUUCUUUUUUUACAGAAGACAAAAUCUUGUAGACUUAGCGUUCACCCCGUUGAGUUUGUAACGUACACCUCUCGAACACGAAAAGGGUAUAACACGAGUAGUUCUCCUAAAUCGCUGGAUAGUCUCCACCUGUUGAGUUCUAUGACAACGUCACCGACUACAGAAAAAAAGACACUUAUCGGGGAGAUAAAAGGCUAAUUCCAUACCGACCAAGAGGGAACGGCUCGAACUCCGUCCUGAUUCACUUUAUAGCAACUGGGCGAAACUCUUAACGUACUAUGGUCUUCUGUAAGUCCAGUUUAGAAGGAGUCUCCGGACACACGUUUUCCUACCGUGAAAUGGGUCACUGAAGUGAAGACUCGUUAGUAGAUUAUUGAGUUUUCUAGUCAGCCGUAAUAACGAACCAUGUGGUAGAUCAUGUCCGUUCUUACGACGCCUUCUCGGAAGGUAAUUAUGGAAAGGGAGAGUCAGACCGCUAGUGUUAGUUCUUGUUCAAGGACGUUUGGUUCGAAAACUCCAACUAGGAGUCUACCUAACAGAACGUUAUAGCCUUCAUCUAACCCGUCUAUGGGAAUGACUAUAGUCACAACCUAUGAACGACUGUCUUCGUAGGUUCCGACGAUUAAACCUAACACUUCACUGGAGAUAACGGUUUUUAGGAGAAAAGCUACUCUUAGACACGUCGAUACUGAGCAAACUACGACGACAACGGGAUGUACGAAGAGCAAUAGUUCGCCGUCUCGUCGGUCGAGUUUGUAGGGUAAGGUGGUAGACCCCACGUCUUCUUUGUACACUACUCAAGUCAAAAUACAACCGGUGUCGAUCCUUCGUUGUUCCAAAUUUGUGAAGUCGAUCGUCGGGAGGACUAUCGCUGUUACUUCAAGUGAGAAGUUUAAGUCUUCCCAAAGUUCCAAAAGAAGUCCUGAACCGACCUCCUCUAUGUGAACCAUUAGGAACACGACUACUACAGUUCCGUUACCUUCUUGAAACACGGUCUAGUGGUGGAGUUUCACUGUUACUAAAACCUAACUUUCUAGUCGGAGAUCUACUGCGUAAGACCGGGCUUAGUGAACCUGGUGACCUGAACCUAUAUGGCGGUUAUUCUAGGGAUCGACUACUCAAGUAGAAUCCUCUGUCAGUUUUAUCAACCUCAGCCUACUACCUUUUAUCGUACCUACGUAAAGCUUUGUACAGCAAGAAGCACAGGCUAUUGUUGCUGAGUCAAGAAGGUGGGUAGUACAUCUCAACACCUACGACCGAUACAAACCGAUCCUUCCUAUGACGGUUAGUCCGUAGGGCGGCUCCUCCUCCGAAAUAUAACAGGUUCGCCCGACGAACAACGAUUAUGUUGUAUACGCCUGAACGACACGGAAACGUCAGUUCUCCCUGCGUACAACAACAUUCCAAUAUUGUAUUUUAGAACAUGAUACAUUUAGCCCAACAAGGACAUGUUUUCCGUGUAUGUUCGCGAACCAAUGUUAUUUCGGAGAAGUAGGCCUAUAACACUUUACUCGAACCCAGUUAACCUCAAACAAAAAAAUAUAUGUUAAAAAAACUGUUUUUGUAUAAACUUC
rnacentral:rRNA from 1 species